ACCCCUGGAUUCCCCCCUUCUCUCAACUCACUUCUCAAUCACUCUCAGAAACCCUAGCCGCCACCUCUAUUCCCACCCUAAAGCCACCAGAACCCAUGGCUUCUAAGGCCGUCGAAGUCCUACACCGACCCCCUGUAUCUCUUACACCCCUGGUUUUAUAAAAUUCAAGGCUUGACCAUGACAAAGUUUGGUCUAUGUUUUGUUUGAUUCGAGUUCUACAACCAUCUCCGGCCUUAUGCCGGCAUGCCAUGGCUGUUCAAGCCUGAUUUUGAAUUCUCCUGCUUAAAUCAGUGUAUUUUCUAAGCCUUUCUCACUACUGGGGUUCUUCUGAAACCCCCCUUCAAGGUUUUUCUGAUUUCUUUAGAUCCGUUGUAUAUUUGUUUUUUCUCUAAGCUCAUAGGCAUUUUUCUCAAAGUCCUUUCAAAAC
rnacentral:lncRNA from 1 species